rnacentral:rRNA from 1 species
GGCUCAGGAUGAACGCUGGCGGCGUGCUUAACACAUGCAAGUCGAACGGACUGUCCAAUUGAUCGAAGAGGCGUGCUUGCACAAAUCGGAAGUCGCCCGGACAAGUUAGUGGCGGACGGGUGAGUAACGCGUGGAGAACCUGCCUUUAUCUGGGGGAUAACAGUUAGAAAUGACUGCUAAUACCGCAUAAGCGCACACUGGGGCAUCCCAGAGUGUGAAAAAACUCCGGUGGAUAGAGAUGGCUCCGCGUCAGAUUAGCCAGUUGGCGGGUAACGGCCCACCAAAGCGACGAUCUGUAGCCGGCCUGAGAGGGCGAUCGGCCACAUUGGGACUGAGACACGGCCCAAACUCCUACGGGAGGCAGCAGUGGGGAAUAUUGCACAAUGGGGGAAACCCUGAUGCCAGCGACGCCGCGUGAGUGAUGAAGUAUUUCGGUAUGUAAAGCUCUAUCAGCAGGGAAGAAAAUGACGGUACCUGACCAAGAAGCCCCGGCUAACUACGUGCCAGCCGCCGC